UCCGGCAGCUCAGUCACGAUGAAGGUAACUCAUCUGCUUGUAGACAUGAGUAAAAAUUAAACAAAAUAAAACUCAAUUAUGAAUUAGAAAAAAAAUCCUGCCACCAUGUAACGGCCCGGAAACAAGUUGGUAGCAGUGCGCAUGCGUUACGGUCAACCUGCUGUGUCGCUUCCGCUUAACACCGCGCCAUUCCGGCAAUAGUGCGCAUGUGUAACAACCAGACUAGCAAGCCGUUUUACCCCUUCCCCCUUCUUUUCCUUUCGAACUUUCCACGACGGCGUUCGGUCUCUGUGACUAAGAGGUGUCAUGUCUGACCUUGGCCACCUGAUGGCGCCACAGCACCAGAAGCAGGAGUCCAUGCUUGAAUUUUCGUUGAUAAUAAAGCUGUUCUUUAUUUAAAAAUAGUGAAAAAUGUCUGUUUUCAU